ACCUCCAUGGCUCAUAUUCAACACAUCAUAUCACUUCGCCUGAGAUAGGACAUGCAAAAGUACCAUUCUCUCGCCCAUAAAUCACCUAUUCAUUGCUUAUACCCUGUCAGCUUACGUUUGCAUUCUAGGGUUUGGAAACGUAACCGAACAUUGAAAGACAAUAAAAAAAAAAAAACAAUGGAAGCUAAGAGAGCAUAGAAACAGAAAUCUGGGGAUCAAUCGAUCAGCAAAAGAACCCUAGCGGGAUAGGAAAUGACAAAUGUUGAAGAAAGAAAGGUUAAUUAGGGUAUUGUCCGUGGUUUUAUAGUGUAAAUUAGGGUUUACAUGGAAAUAAAACCCUUGUAAAACCCCGAGGAAUGGAAAGAAGGUGAGAUUUGAGAGCUCCAAAGAGCAAGGCGUCA
rnacentral:misc_RNA from 1 species